rnacentral:rRNA from 1 species
AUGCCUUUGUCUUCUUCCCUGUACGUCCAAAUUAACAGCAGUCAAUGCAACCGUGCAAGCACGAGGGAAGGUGCAGAGGAAAAUAGCCAUAGCCUGAAGAUGAAAGUGCAGAGGAAAAUGCCAUUGCAUUUCUCCUUCUCGCGAAGGAACUACGCAAGCGAGCGAGCGGACAAGGAGGCGGUACGCGCGCAGAUGAGGUUGGACUACAGGACAGUCGCAGUUGGACGACGCAGUGGCCGCAUCAGCAUUGGAAGCUGCACCAGCCAAAGCUUGAUAGGACGGGCGUCGUGCGGGAUUGCUGCACUAACGGGGAUUGGUGCCGGCCGGACACCGUUGGCGCAACACUAA